GACGAACGCUGGCGGCGUGCCUAAUACAUGCAAGUAGAACGCACAGUUUAUACCUUAGCUUGCUACACCAUAGACUGUGAGUUGCGAACGGGUGAGUAACGCGUAGGUAACCUGCCUGGUAGCGGGGGAUAACUAUUGUAAACGAUAGCUAAUACCGCAUAAUAUUAAUUAUUGCAUGAUAAUUAAUUGAAAGGUGCAAUUGCACCACUACCAGAUGGACCUGCGUUGUAUUAGCUAGUAGGUGAGGUAACGGCUCACCUAGGCGACGAUACAUAGCCGAGCUGAGAGGGUGAUCGGCCACACUGGGACUGAGACACGGCCCAGACUCCUACGGGAGGCAGCAGGAGGGAAUCUUCGGCAAAGGACGAAAGUCUGACCGAGCAAAGCCGCGUGAGUGAAGAAGGUUUUCGGAUCGUAAAGCUCCGUUGUAAGAGAAGAACGGGUGUGAGAGUGGAAAGUUCACACUGUGACGGUAUCUUAACAGAAAGGGACGGCUAACUACGUG
rnacentral:rRNA from 1 species